AGCAGUCGCCGCGGGAAUACGAAGGGGGCUAGCGUUGCUCGGAAUUACUGGGCGUAAAGGGAGCGUAGGCGGACAUUUAAGUCAGGGGUGAAAUCCCAGAGCUCAACUCUGGAACUGCCUUUGAUACUGGGUGUCUUGAGUGUGAUAGAGGUAUGUGGAACUCCGAGUGUAGAGGUGAAAUUCGUAGAUAUUCGGAAGAACACCAGUGGCGAAGGCGACAUACUGGAUCAUUACUGACGCUGAGGCUCGAAAGCGUGGGGAGCAAACAGGAUUAGAUACCCCAGUAGUCCCUGUCUCUUAUAC
rnacentral:rRNA from 1 species